AAUCACGGGGCGCUGAAAAAUUCGAAUGUGCUUAGCUCGCAUCCUGUGUCACGAAUCUGUGCAAAUUUGUGCUCAAUUCAAUAAUUUUUCGUAAUUAACUCGAUCCGUGGAGCUGGUCUUAGUAUGUGCGGGCUCUAGAGCUUUAUAGAAUGAAGAGAAGAAAUUACAAAUCACCGUUAUGCAGAGCUGAAAACUACAGCGACUCUAUAUCAGAGAAUAUUAUCGCCGAUGCAGCCUGAAGUGACGUGUUAGGAGUCGAUGUAUAAAAAGAGCCGAUACGAUACUCACCCAAGAAUUGUGGUUGGCGGUAUAACGCUACCGCUAACAGUCGGCGGAGCUGGAGCCGGAAAUACAGGGGGACCAGGCGGCGGGCGUCCACCACCACCAGACGGCCUAUUCAUUGG